AAGUCGUAACAAGGUUUCCGUAGGUGAACCUGCGGAAGGAUCAUUAUCACGUAUCCAAACGUAUAAACCCAAUGUGCACCUCAAAUUCCUCCUCUGGAAAUGAAGUGGCAGAGAAGUUGAUAUUCUGAUUCAUGGUCUUUCAGAAUUCUCUGUCUUGAUCUAAAACUUUAUUGUUUUAGUUCAGCCUUCUACUCCGGGAGUCGUAUCAAACCAUGCUUGUUUUACUAAACAACUUGUACCUUUCUGAACUAACUUUGGUUGGAAAAAAACAACAGGUCUUCGGAUCUGGCUGUUUUUUGAUAACCUUGAUUUAUAUAAACUCUGAACUACUCUUAACAACGGAUAUCUUGGUUUUC
rnacentral:misc_RNA from 1 species